AAUCUACUUGAAUAAAAUGCACCAAAGGAUUGUUUAUCUUCAUCACUGUACGAAAAAAUUUAUACACUAGCUGCGAUAUAAACAUCGCCUCAUAUACUACUACGCGCACUUUCUCUCUCUUGAUCUCAGUAUUCAAGUGCGUGUUUAAUUGUUUAUCGACUCGCGCACACUUCCCAGAUCUUACAUUCCGAUCUCCAGGACUUCCCAAUUGUAAACAUAAUCUGUGAAAAUGCCGCUCAGAUUAGAAAUCAAGAGGAAACUUGCUCAACGAUCAGAAAGAGUAAAGUCAGUGGAUCUACAUCCAACAGAGCCAUGGAUAUUGGCAAGUUUGUAUUCAGGGACUGUUUGUAUUUGGAACUACCAGACUCAGACAAUGGUUAAAUCUUUUGAGGUUACAGAAUUACCAGUUAGAUCAGCAAAAUUUAUUGCACGAAAGCAGUGGGUUGUCGCUGGUGCUGACGAUAUGUUCAUCCGUGUGUACAAUUAUAAUACAAUGGAUAAGGUAAAAGUGUUUGAGGCCCAUACAGAUUAUAUCAGGUGUGUGGCUGUUCAUCCCUCUCUUCCCUAUGUGCUGUCAUCCUCCGAUGAUAUGCAAAUAAAGCUAUGGGACUGGGAGAAGGGGUGGUUGUGCACUCAAAUAUUUGAGGGUCAUUCUCACUAUGUUAUGCAAGUGACUUUUAAUCCGAAAGAUACCAAUACUUUUGCCAGUGCUUCACUUGACCGCACUAUAAAGAUCUGGAAUCUUGGCUCUCCUGAUCCAAACUUUACCUUGGAUGCUCAUCUGAAAGGAGUCAACUGUGUAGAUUAUUUUACUGGUGGUGAUAAGCCAUAUCUAAUUACUGGUUCUGAUGAUCACACUGCUAAGGUGUGGGAUUACCAGACAAAGAGCUGCGUGCAGACAUUAGAAGGCCACACACACAAUGUAUCUGCAGUUUGCUUCCAUCCCGAACUUCCCAUUAUCAUAACCGGUUCUGAGGAUGGUACUGUCCGCAUUUGGCAUGCAACCACUUACAGACUUGAAAACACACUGAAUUAUGGCCUUGAAAGAGUUUGGGCAGUUGGCUACAGUAAAGGUUCGAGAAGGGUAGUAAUUGGUUAUGAUGAAGGUACGAUCAUGGUAAAGCUUGGUCGUGAGGUACCUGUUGCUAGUAUGGACAACGGAGGGAAAAUAAUUUGGGCCAAGCAUAAUGAAAUUCAGACUGUCAACAUCAAGACUGUUGGGGCAGAUUAUGAGGUUGCUGAUGGAGAGAGACUACCCUUGGCUGUUAAGGAACUGGGAAAUUGCGAUCUUUAUCCACAGAGCUUAAAGCACAAUCCCAAUGGUAGGUUUGUUGUUGUAUGUGGAGAUGGUGAAUACAUAAUAUACACAGCUUUGGCAUGGAGAAACAGAUCAUUUGGCUCGGCACUUGAAUUUGUUUGGUCAACCGAAGGAGAAUACGCUGUUAGAGAAAGCACAUCAAAGAUUAAGAUUUUCUCCAAAAAUUUCCAGGAGAAGAAAAGUAUCAGGCCCACCUUUUCUGCUGAGCAUAUAUAUGGUGGCAAUUUGUUGGCAAUGUGUUCAAAUGAUUUUAUUUGCUUCUAUGAUUGGGCUGAUUGUAGGCUGAUACGCCGAAUUGAUGUCACUGUUAAAAAUCUCUACUGGGCUGACAGCGGUGAUUUGGUGACCAUUUCCAGUGAUACAUCAUUCUAUAUACUUAAAUACAACCGGGAUGUUGUUUCUGCUCAUCUGGAUAGUGGGAGAUCAGUAGAUGAACAAGGUGUGGAAGAUGCUUUUGAGCUUCUCUAUGAAAUUAACGAACGAGUACGGACUGGACUUUGGGUUGGGGAUUGUUUUAUUUACAAUAACUCUUCCUGGAGACUCAAUUACUGUGUGGGUGGUGAGGUGACAACAAUGUUUCAUUUAGACCGACCCAUGUACCUGCUUGGGUAUCUUGCUAAUCAAAGUCAUGUUUAUCUCCUUGACAAAGAAUUCAAUGUUGUCGGAUAUACAUUGCUGCUCAGCUUGAUUGAAUACAAGACUCUUGUAAUGCGUGGUGACUUUGAAAGGGCGAAUGAGGUCUUACCAUCAAUUCCAAAGGAACAUCGCAACAGUGUCGCUCGUUUCUUGGAAUCACGAGGUAUGAUAGAAGAUGCACUCGAAGUUGCUACAGAUCCUGAUUACAGAUUUGAGUUAGCCAUACAGCAAGGCAAACUAGCAAUUGCUAAGGAAAUUGCAACAGUAGCACAGAGCGAGUCUAAGUGGAAGCAAUUGGGUGAAUUAGCCUUGUCUACUGGAAUGCUGGAGAUGGCAGAAGAGUGCUUGAAGCAAGCAAAUGACUUGAGUGGUUUGUUGCUACUCUACUCUUCUUUAGGCAAUGCUGAGGGGAUUUCUGAACUUGCUUCUCUUGCCAAAGAACAUGGGAAAAAUAAUGUUGCAUUCCUUUGUUUAUUUAUGUUGGGUAAAUUGGAGGACUGCCUUCAGCUGUUGAUUGACAGCAAUCGGAUACCUGAGGCUGCAUUGAUGGCACGGUCAUACCUCCCAAGCAAAGUGUCAGAGAUUGUUUCUCUUUGGAGAAAGGACCUCAGCAAGAUCAAUCAGAAAGCUGCUGAGUCUCUUGCUGAUCCAGAAGAAUAUCCUAAUAUGUUUGAUGAUUGGCAAAUUGCCUUUUCUGUUGAAGCCAAUGCUGCAGAGACAAGGGGCAAAUAUCCUCCAGCAUCUGAAUAUGUGCAGCAUGCUGAUAGAUCAACAGCAAGUCUUGUAGAAACGUUUAGAAGCAUGCAACUGGAAGAAGAACUACCAGAAAAUGGUGACUUGGAUUAUGAGGAUACUGAGCAGAACGGACAUGAUGCACAAGAAACACAACUUGACGAGCAAGCUGUGGGAGUGCAUGAGGAUGGCCAGGAAGAGCCUGUUGUGGUGGAUGCUGACUCAACUGAUAGCGCUGUACUUGUUAACGGCAGUGAGGCUGAGGAAGAGUGGGGUACGAAUAAUGAAGGAAAACCGUCAGCCUAAAAGCAAUUGGUUGGGCCGGUGUGAUAUUCCUAGUUUUGUUGCUGUGCUUACGCCACCUAACUGAGGCCAGAGAAGACAGACGGUUCCAGCUGCAUAUGGUUUCUCUCGUGCAUCCAUAUUGGCUGCCCGGAAGAGUCGAUCAGGGGCCGGUUGUCUUUCAGCAAGUGGUAGACAAGCACAAUUAUUUUAGUUAUUGGGGCAUACAUAUUAUACUGCUGUAGACUUUGGAAGUUCCUAUUUUUUCUAAAUUUGUUUCUUUUUAAUUUUGUUUUCCCAUUUUCCCCUCAGACUGUCUUGCGGCGUUGUGAAUUGUAGAUACAUAGUAGUGAUAGAAUUUACCCAUCUUAUAUUGUAUGCAGAAUUUUGUACACACUUAGGAUAUGAAUUGAUAUCCUGACCACAAUAUUGUACACUUCACCUUCAUUUGACUUAA